GACGAACGCUGGCGGCGUGCUUAACACAUGCAAGUCGAACGGAAAGGCCCUGCUUUUGUGGGGUGCUCGAGUGGCGAACGGGUGAGUAACACGUGAGUAACCUGCCCUUGACUUUGGGAUAACUUCAGGAAACUGGGGCAAAUACCGGAUAGGAGCUCCUGCUGAAUGGUGGGGGUUGGAAAGUUUCGGCGGUUGGGGAUGGACUCGCGGCUUAUCAGCUUGUGGGUGGGGUAGUGGCUUACCAAGGCUUUGACGGGUAGCCGGCCUGAGAGGGUGACCGGCCACAUUGGGCCUGCGAUACGGCCCAGACUCCUACGGGAGGCAGCAGUGGGGAAUCUUGCCCAAUGGGCGGACGCCUGAUGCAGCAACGCCGCGUGCGGGAUGACGGCCUUCGGGUUGUAAACCGCUUUCGCCUGUGACGACGCGUGAGUGACGGUAAUGGGUAAAGAAGCACCGGCUAACUACGUG
rnacentral:rRNA from 1 species